UACAGAGGUCCCAAGCGUUGUUCGGAUUUACUGGGCGUAAAGGGUGCGUAGGUGGCGAGGUAAGUUCGAUGUGAAAUCUCCGAGCUCAACUCGGAAAUGGCAUUGAAUACUAUCCCGCUUGAGGGUCGGAGGGGACACUGGAAUUCUCGGUGUAGCAGUGAAAUGCGUAGAUAUCAGGAGGAAUACCGGUGGCGAAAGCGACUCUCUGGACGGCAACUGACGCUGAGGCACGAAAGCGUGGGGAGCAAACAGG
rnacentral:rRNA from 1 species